UCUCCCACACAAUGGGCAAAGAGACAUCUUGUUGGUGGUGGCGUUCUUAUAUCAGCCAGGGGCAGAGCAGAUGGCCUUCCUUUGUUCAUCCUAGCCUGAUGCCUGGCUUGGUGGCCACAGCUGUCUUAUGCCCACAACACAUAA